CAACUACUCCCUCUGUCCCAAAAUUCUUGUCUUAGAUUUGUCUAGAUACGGAUGUAUCAAGUCACAUUUUAGUAUUAGAUACAUCCGUAUCUAGACAAAUCUAAGACAAGAAAUUUGGGACAGAGGGAGUAGUUG
rnacentral:pre_miRNA from 1 species